ACAAGUCGAACGCAGGCUAAGAGCGCCACGUCGUGUGGCAACGCCUGCACUAGCACGUCCUGUGCG
rnacentral:sRNA from 1 species